rnacentral:rRNA from 1 species
GACGAACGCUGGCGGCGUGCUUAACACAUGCAAGUCGAACGGUGAAGCGCCUUCCUUUUUGGUGGGUGUGGAUGAGUGGCGAGCGGGUGAGUAACACGUGAGUAACCUGCCCCCUUCUUCUGGAUAACCGCAUGAAAGUGUGGCUAAUACGGGAUAUUCUGGGUCUGUCGCAUGAUGGGUCUGGGAAAGAUAUUGUUUCGGUGGGGGAUGGGCUCGCGGCCUAUCAGCUUGUUGGUGGGGUGAUGGCCUACCAAGGCGGUGACGGGUAGCCGGCCUGAGAGGGUGGGCGGUCACACUGGGACUGAGACACGGCCCAGACUCCUACGGGAGGCAGCAGUGGGGAAUAUUGCACAAUGGGCGCAAGCCUGAUGCAGCGACGCCGCGUGAGGGAUGGAGGCCUUCGGGUUGUGAACCUCUUUCGCCAGUGAAGCAGGCCUGCCUCGUUUGUGGGUGGGUUGACGGUAGCUGGAGAAGAAGCGCCGGCUAACUACGUG